CACAUUCCUCAGUGCAUCUGUAUGCAUAAUGAUAUUUACAGCUGCCUGUCUUGGUAAAACUGUUCUCCAGACGCCUGACAACCUCAUCAAGAAUCAAGAUGAAUCUGCUGUGAUCAUGUGCUCUCACAAGAUACCAAGCUAUUACCAAAUAUUAUGGUACAAACAAAGUCCAGACAUGUUGGGCUUAAAGUUGAUGGGAUAUCUUAAUUAUGAUGCUGAGAAUAAAGAGCCUGAAUUUGACAAGAAGAUCAAAUUGGAUGGAGAUGGGAGAAAUGAUGGCACUCUGAUCAUCAGCAACCUCACACUGACUGACAGUGCAGUGUAUUUCUGUGCAGCAUAUUACACAGUGCUCAGAAUCACCUCUGUCUGA